rnacentral:lncRNA from 1 species
GGACCUUUCACCUUUUGACUAAAAUUUAGAUCUCAACAAGUCUAUACAAAAAUUUCAUCACAGCUUGAAAGAGCAUCACAAAAUUAGGUUGGUAUUUAAAGCGACCUGCAGUCAAACUUUACAACAUUCAUUCCGAACAUACAAAUAAACAUUGGUGGUCAGAUUUCAAAGACAAAUUGAAAUUGACAGUAAGAUGUAAUUUUAUUGUUGGGGAUGGGUUGGUGCUUUAGGGUUUAGGUUCAAUUCCUGCAAAAGGCCAGUUACACAAAGUCACAGCAAUUUCAAAUGGCUUGACAAAAUAAAUUCUAUUCAGUCUCGAAAUAGGUAGAUGCAUCUAUUUAUAGCACAUGGUUUUUUAAUGAGAACCAUAUUGGUGUCCUAAUAAUAAAUUAUUAUUUUUAAAAAAAAAACAAUAUUGCUAUUUUUGAGGGAGUUGCACAAGUGCACAUGACAGAUAUUGUUUUCUUAUAGAUACCCACCUCUUACUGUCAAAUUGAAUGCAAUGGAAGUGUUGAUAAAACAUUGCACCAAUUCAUUCCUCAAGUUGAUCAAUUCAUUUGAUAGAAAAUUGAUAAACUUCCUGUUACUUUUAAAUGAGCCAAUUAGAUUUCGUUUCAGAACCGAUUGACCAAUAGGAAACACACAGGAAGUAAAAAGAAAUUAGAAUUCGUAUGAAUUGAUCAACUUGAGGAAAUGAAUUCAUGCAAUAUUUUAUCAACACUUCCAUUGCAUCAACAGUAAAUUAAAUUAUUUUUGUUUGGCAAUAAAGUGAAAGGUAAAAAUGCUGAAAAAAUCUAAAAAGUUAGCCAAAAUGACAAUUUAAAUAACAUCAUUUCUAUAACUUGCUAAACCUAGUCAGUUACUAUUAUAUCAUCACAAACAUCUGUCAACGUACACUCAUGCUCCUCCGUACCACUUGAGUCUCCCACUCUGGCCACUCACCAUGUCACUUUAUGAAAAAUUUUAGAUAAAAUCCUAUUUAAAAAAAGUCAACCCUAUACUUUAUAUACUGAACAUAGACCUCUAAGAUAUCUCCAGUGGCAAUUAGUGGGUGCAAAUACUUGCAUAAUUCAGAAGCAAUAUAGCCAACAUCACAUGUGUCCAUCCAGUCUACAUCAAUUGCACUUGGGUCCAUUGGAUUCAAUGGCUCUGGCUAUAUUCUUACAUUCAUUGGUUUAUCUUGUCCAUGAAGAGCAAGGCAUGCCUGUUCCAAAUGAUGUUGGUAAUUUUUCUCAUGAGCAGCACCGAUUCACUUGAAUGGUACAGCAUGGGUGAUUUCAUCCUCGUCACUUUAAUCCUCAUAACUUAACUGGUCAUCACUUUCUGCCUUAUCACCUUCAUUAGUUCAUUACCAUAUCCAUCAUGACCAGGUUCAAGACCAGCCAACCACUCAAGUAGAUCUCUUUCUACAAAAAUCAUAACAAAAUUUUUAUUUUACUAUUUUAUACAUACACUGUAAUCUCUAAAAUUAGCAAUCUAAUGCAAAAGUGUGUCACCAUUUACAGUAAUACUAGAACAACACACAAAUAUGGCAAUAUUUUACAGAUGAAAAUUGAAAAAU